AAGUCGUAACAAGGUCUCCGUAGGUGAACCUGCGGAGGGAUCAUUAAUGAGAACUUGCCCGAGAGGGUAGAUCUCCCACCCUUUGUAUACCUUACCUUUGUUGCUUUGUCAGGCCCGUCUCUCGGGACCGCCGGCCCCCGGGGCUGGUCAGCGCCUGACGGAGGAAAAAUCGUAACUCUUGUCUAACAUGUCGUCUGAGUACUAUUAAUAGUUAAAA
rnacentral:misc_RNA from 1 species